rnacentral:tRNA from 2 species
GCGGACGUGGCGGAAUGGUAGACGCAAGGGACUUAAAAUCCCUUGGGAGCAAUCCCGUGUGGGUUCGAGUCCCACCGUCCGCACCA